UCAAUCUUCUACCAGGAUUUUGGUAGGAAUUUCAACAGUAUUGCUGCAUCCCUGGUACUACUACUAAAAAACAAUACAUAUAACUUGACUAGUACACUAGUUAUGGUUGGAUGAAUCUUACAAGUGUUUCACAGGAAUCAGCUCAAUGUCUACCGAGUUGGACUUUUUUAUUUAUUGUUUUUACUAACAAGGCAUUUCUAGUUGAAAGGAAAAGCCAUGUUUGAAAGACAAAAAAAAGUUCAGAAUCUUGUAGAUGUUGAACUGUUUCAUCUGAAAUUCCUGCAAAUAUCAAUAGUAGUUUAGUGUUCCUUUGAAAAGCCUAUACGACUAUAUGAGGCACAACAAUUUUGAAGGUUUUCAAAUGCUUGAAAUACGAAAUAUUGCCAUAUUAGAAUAUGAACUAGGCCUUGCUAGCUACUCAUUGGCUUAGCGGGGCUUCCAAUUUUUUCAGUGUUUAACAAAUCAAAUUGCUUUGUCAAAACAUUAUGCAUUAUUCAUUGCUUCGUAGAAAUCGAUAACCAAAAUACUACCAUGUUGUUUAAAAUCUCUAGAAAACUGAUAAUGUGACCACCAGUUAUGACUAGAUGAUGCUAGUAGAAAGCAUGGAGCCAGUUCACUUUUUAUGCAUAAUAUGAUCCUAGAUGUGCCAAAAAAUGAAGGGGAGCCUUGGCGCAGUGGUAAAGCUGCUGCCUUGUGACCAUGAGGUCAUGAGUUCAAGUCCUGGAAACAGCCUCUUACAGAAAUGUAGGGAAAAGCUGCGUACUAUAGACCCAAAGUGGUCGGACCCUUCCCUGGACCCUGCGCAAGCGGGAGCUACAUGCACCAGGUUGCCCUUUUAUGUGCCAGAAAAUGAUUAAAAAAAUCAUGUAGUUUUCAUGCUUAAUAUGGUAUUACUUUGAAUCUUACAGGUGUUUCACAGGAAACAGUUCAAUGUCUACCAAGCUGGGGGAAAAAUCUUGACCAUGGCAUUUCUAGUCAAUAGGAAUACGCCAUGUGUUGGAAGACAAAUUUCCUUCCAGAAUCUAGUAGAUGUUGAACUGUUUCCUCUGAAAUUCCUGUAAAAUUCAUGAGUAGUUUCGUAUUCCUUUGAAAAACCUAUACGAGACUUCAUAAUUUUUUUCAAAGGCUCAAAAUAUGAAAUGCAACCAUAUUAUGAACUAGGCCAUGCUACUUACCUGUCGAUUGUGUGGGACUUCCAUUUUUUAAUGUUUAGUAAAUCAAAGAAAAUUUAUCACAACUAUAUAAUUCAUGCAUUCUUCUUUAUGGAUGACCAAUAUAUGGCACAACCAUAGUGACAUGUGAUACUUGCCAGUCACUAUGGGCCUCAUUUGAGACCGAGAGUCAUUCUUGGACUUCCAUUUCAAAAUAUAGGCAGUCCCUCUAUAAUAUUGCACAAGGGAGAAUAGAGGUGAUACCUCCACCUAGAUGCUCUCAUGCUACCAAUUCAAAAAGUUCAAAAAAUGAUUCAGAAAAUUCUGAGAAAAUUUGUGAAUGUUUACAACACAUGUGUCUACAAAUGCUAAAAAAAAUUAGAUCCAAAUUGAAAGUACACAUAGAGGCAAAUUCAACAUGAAUAGUGUCAAUAAAGACAAAACCAUGAAUAGUGUAAAAACUACACUAUUCACAUCUCGGUUUGUCUUUUUGUUUCUCAAUGUGUAUAUGGAACUUGGAUCUGAAUUCUUUAGCGGUCAUAGACACAUGUAUUGUGAACAUUCAUGUUUUUUAGAGUUUUUUGAAUAAAUUUUAAAUUUUUGAAAUUUGUAUCAUGGGAGCAUCAAAGUGGUGGCAUCACCUGAUAUUUUCCCUCCUGCACAACUCACUCUGAAAGGGCCUAAGUGGAACACUGAAGGAGUUUAAGUUUUUAGGAAUAUUCAUAUAAUAUAUGGAUGUAUUAGCAAAAAAAAUGUGAUACCCUAAACUAGCAGGAUGACCCUCGCAUUUGCAUGGCUAGAAUUUUUUUUUCCGUUACAUUUGUGUUUCCAUGUAUGCAUUAUAUUAUCUUUGAUACAUUGUCCAUUGUUGUCACAAUUUGAGUAUUUGUCCAAACAUAAGUUUUUUAAGAUAUAAUUUUCCUCGGCAUUGGAAAUGUUUGUAGUUCAAUAAACACCUUGAGGAAAUAUUGUUGGAAUUUGGUGGGAAAAAUCCAUUUAUGUGUGUCACACUAAUGCUAAUGAUCUUCACAUGUGGUAGUUGAACACUAAACAAAUUGUUUUCCAUGAAUAGUUUUUAUCAAUUCGUUCAAUAAUACUUAAAUCUAAACAUUGGUGGCAUGUAUUUAAUUCUUUUGUAAUCUUCAUACAUUUGCCUCAUGAUGAUGGUCUUUCUCAUUAGCACACCUUUUUAUCACACAAGAGAACACAAGUAGAAUAAUAUGUGGGUUCUGUUGUGUGAUAAAUGUGAUAAAAGGGUCUAUUGAUGAGGCAGAUGAUCAGAUCAUCAUCAUCAUCACGAGAAAGAUGUAUGAAGAGAACAUACUACCUCCAUUUGGGUUUAUUGGUCCCCUUCGCAUUUUGUGCCCAACUUUGACCAUAGGUUUGACUAACAAAUUAUGAAUUGUAUGUCAUAAAACUUAUAUUGUUGGAUUCAUAUUUGAAAGAGGUUUCCAAUGAUACUAUUUUUAGGGUAUAUCAUUUAUUUUUUAAUAGUUAAAUCAAUGGUCAAAGUUUGAUGCAAACUACAAGGAGGACUAAUAAACCAGGACAGAGGUAGUAAUAUUUAAAUACUUGCCAUCAAUGUUUCGACUUAUAGUGUUGUUAUAGCAACAACCUUCAACUAAGGUUGCCUCAGUAUCAUGAUUGGAGUUGAGUGUCUGGCGGGUAUCGUCGAACACCAAAUGUUAAUUGGGGCGUGUAUGUUGGUCUUUACUCCUAUAAAGUAUGCUGGAGCACCCCGUCUCCUGGGAGCCAUCGCGGGUGUCGAAGCCCUCUGCGCAUUCGUUUAGUGCUAGUGCCACAGGCAUCUCCUUGGGCUCUUCGCGCCGCCCAAUCUGCCCGGAUGGCAAGCACUCGGACGGAUGGCCUCACGGGUUCAUGAGGGUGGACCGCGGGCGCGACCGGUGCCACCAUCAUGUGGUGGUUUUGGUAACACCCGCGAGCGCCCUAUCGUUGGGAAAAAGAAUCCGUGGUGUCAUAAACACCGGGAUUUUAUCAGAUCUUUUGGCAUCCAUUUGAAACAAUAUACAUUGGAUUCUUAUUGGGCCAUAAAACUUGACACCAAUUUUUGUCAAUUUUUUUGUACUGAACACUAGACUGCUAGACUCGAUGAUACUGGUAGUCAAGACCAACAAUGAAGAGUUCGUGGCAAAACAACGUUAGAAGCUUAAACUAGAUAACAAGGCUUCAGAUGCUGCUCAGUUUAAUUUCACUACUCAAGGUGGACACAACUUUUUUUGGACAAAAUAUAAAUAUGUUCGAUGAUCUAGAUUUAAUUAAUCUUUUCAAAAUAUUUCAUUGAAAGUACUUCACUCGGUCUAGUGAGAUGUAUAUCCAAUUAGUGUAUCUCAUUUUGUGUCUCAUACAAAGCGUAUGUUUUAUUACUUGUAUUUGAUAUUUGUAUUAUCUAGAACCUUGGAAGAUUCAAACAAACUUAUCAAUAAUUAUGAUGUUAACUUGUAUUUGAUGUUUCUUAAAGUAAUACUUGUAUUUGAUGUUUCUUUAGAAACAUCAAAUGCAAGUUAAGAUCAUAAUUAUUGAUAGCUUUCUUUGAAUCUUGCAAGGUUCUAGAUAACACACACAUCAAAUAAAGGUAACAAAACAUACAGUUUGUAUGAGACAAAAAAAUGAGAUACACUAAUUUGAUAUAUACCUCACUGGACCAAACGAAGUAUUUUCAAUGGAGUAUUUUAAAAAGAUCAAUUCAAUGAAGAUCAAAGACAUAAUUUAUAUUAUGUCUCAAAAAAUUGUGUCCACCUUGAGUAGUGAAACUAAAUUGAGCACCAUCAGAAGCCUUGCUCUCUAGUUGAAGCUUCCGGCGUUGUUUUGCCAAGAACUCCUCAUUGUUGGUCUUGACGACCAGUGUCAUCGAGUCUAGCACUCUUGCGUUCAAUACAAAAAAAGUGACAAAACCAAUGUCUGAUUUUAUGCCCCAAAAUUAUUCAGCACAUAUUGUUUUUAGAUGGAUGUCAAAAGAUCUGAUAAGAUCCCAGUGUUUACCACGCCACAGAUUUUUUUCCCGUGUGGUGUGUGUCGCUCGCACCAGCCGACCAAUUAUGUGCGCACGGCUCGGCGAGGAGGCAAUCCAUGCCGUCAGUUUCAAGCUGGCCUCCUACAACUGGCUCCAUGGGGCUCUCUGUGUCGUCCGAUCUGCCCGGACAGCGCGCACUCGGGCGGCUUGUCUCAAGGGUCCGUGAUGGGUGGACUGCACGCGGUCGGGCCACCAUUGUGUGGUGAUUUCGGUCAUGCCCUUGUGCGCCACCCUGCGUGGUGCCCCGCAUGCGAGGGGGAGGCCGGCUCACCCUGUUAGCAUCCGCCGGUGAUAACGCAUGCAAAGAGUUGUUUCAGACAUGCGAGCCGGGUAGGCACCUGUGCUCAUGCCCGAUUGUAAGGCAUGCACGACAUCUCGCGAUAGCCUUGUUCGGUUGAUGGGCAUCACGAGGUAGAUCGCUGCUGGGUACGCUGCCUAGAAGCCCCGCUGGUCUUUCGUUCUCAUGCAUCGGCUACGCUCGUUUGCUGGGUCACCCGUCGGGUGUGCCUGCACGGUCGGGCAUGUGAUGCAUACGCCUAUGGGCGUGUUUGGCAGCCAUAGCAGCCGGGGCUGGCUUAGCUUAGCCUAGCUCAAGAGAGCCUGGCUGAGGAAAUGCAGGCCGAAAACUAACAUCCGCAUAUUGUUUGGUUGCCUGCAUCUAGUCCUCUCGCAUUAGGGGUGUAAUUUUGGCAUAGUGUUUGGUUGCCUGCAUUUGCUCAGCGCAAGCAACUACACGGUGUUUGGUUGUAUAUGCGGGAUAUGAUUAAUAGUUAACACUUACACUUAACACACAUUGUGCCUCACAAUCGCAGUGGAGGGUGACCACGGCGCCGCGUCUGACACGACGUGCACGGAGUCUCGAGCGAGCGUUCUUGUCGGUGCCACGGCAAACUAGUUGCUAGCAUCGCCACUACAGAUGAAGUUCAUGCAGAGGGGCACUGAGGCACAGGAACGGGGAGAGAAAUGUAGUGCGUGUCAGACCAUGGUGACUGCGGUGGAUGUGGUCGUGGCUCCGUGCCCCAUAAGACGAGCAUGGAGUCAUGCGCGAGCGACCCCGUCGGCGGUGCGGGCGAACUAGCUGCUAGCCUUGUCGGUGCAGAGAAAUUCCGCAUGAAGAUAGUGUACAGAGGAGGAGAAAUGUAGCGCAAGCUCCAUAACACAAUUCCAGCCGCGCAAGUUCCAGAACCACGAAAUCCAAUCUAGAGCCCUAUUCCUGCACCUUACCGGAGUGGAAGACGAUCAUGGAGGGGUUCAUCAUCCUCAUUGGUGCUCCUUCGAUGAUGCGUGAGUAGUUCACCACAGACCAACGGGUCCGUAGGUAGUAGCUAGAUGGGUUUCUCUCUUUUUGAUUCUCAAUACAAUGUUCUCCUCGAUGUUCUUGGAGAUCUAUUUCAUGUAAUGACUUUUUGCGGUGUGUUUACUGGGAUCCAAUGAAUUGUGAGUUUAUGAUCAGACCUAUCCAUGAAUAUUAUUUGAUUCUUCUUUGAUCUCUUAUAUGCAUGAUUAUUAUAGCCUCGUAUUUCUUCUUCGAAACUUAAGUUUGGUUUGGCCAACUAGAUUGAUUUUUCUUGCCAUGGAAAGAGGUGCUUUGUGAUGGGUUCGAUCUUGCGGUGUCCUCACCCAAUGACAGAAGGGGUAGCGAGGCACACAUGUAUCAUGCUAUUAAGGAUAAAAAUACGGGGUCUAUUCCUACAUGAAUAGAUCUUGUCUACAUCAUGUCAUUGUUUUUAUUGCAUUACUCCGUUUCUCCAUGAACUUAAUACACUAGAUGCAUGCUGGAUAGCGGUUGAUGUGUGGGUAAUAGUAGUAGAUGCAGCCAGGAGUCGGUCUACUAAUCUUGGCCAUGAUGCCUAUAUACAUGAUCAUUGCCUUGGAUAUCGUCAUAAUUAUUUGCUUUUCUAUCAAUUGCCCAACAGUAAUUUGUUUACCCACCAUAUACUAUUUUCUUGAGAGAAGCCACGCUAGUGAAAUCUAUGGCCACCGGGUCUAUUUUCUAUCAUAUUGUUUUCAGAUCUAUUAUUCCAAAAAAACAAAAUACCUUGUUGCACUUUUUAUUUAUUUGUUUUGUGUUUUUACAAGAUAUAUUUAUCCAAUCUCAUACAAUUUUAUCUAUCUUUUUACCGUGGAGGAAUUGAUAACCCCUCUUACGUGUUGGGUUGCAAGUAUUUGUUCUUUGUGUGCAGGUACCGUUUACAUAGUGUUUCUUGGUUCUCCGACUAGAUUGAUAACCUUGGUUUCAUAACUGAGGGAAAUACUUACCGUUGAUGUGCUGCAUCAGCAUUUCCUCUUCAACGGAAAAACCAAAGAAGAUACAAGCAAUCAGGGAACACAACCACAAGAUAAUAUCCCACCACAAGACUACAAGCUUAAAGGAUCUCAAUACCAUGUUCUCCCCCUCUCUUGUGGAGAUCUAUUCGAUGUAACUCUUUUUGCGGUGUGUUUGUCGAGAUCCGAUGAAUUGUGGGUUUAUGAUCAAGUUUAUCUAUGAGAAAUAUUUGAAUCUUCUCUGAAUUCUUUUAUGUAUGAUUGAGUUAUCUUUGCAAGUCUCUUCGAAUUAUCAGUUUGGUUUGGCCUACUAGAUUGAUC
rnacentral:lncRNA from 1 species